rfam:Candidatus Methanoperedens nitroreducens strain ANME-2d ANME2D_Contig_1.1, whole genome shotgun sequence.
UACCCCUUCCAUUUGGGGUAAUCUUACCGGGAUGUGCUUUUGCAGUAAUACAGAGGUGCAAAGCUCCUGGGACAAUGUGAAUACAUCUAAAAAUCCAAUUUAGACAAUUUGCUAAGAUAAGGAUGUCAUGGAGAAG